UGGGGAAACAGGAGAGCUUCCAGAAAACCUCUAUGUGGUCAGACUUAUAUCUUGCUCACAGUUGAUAAUUGGCAAUAAAUUCUAACAGUCUUUGGGACUCACAAGUCAUAAUGCAUUUUCCACCCUGUGAUCUGACUCAACAUGGUAAUAAAGUCUGAAUGGAUUGAGAUUUUUUGAAAAUCAGAUGUCAGUCUACAUAAAGAGCACUGAGUACAGUCAGAAGCUCAGGAGGGUGAGAGAAUUCACC